CAGAUACAUCAUCACUAGACAUGGGCCAAAAAACUGCACAUACAGACAGACAGACGUGGGUCCUGCACUACCCACAACCAUGAUGUCCAGGGUCCCUGCACCACCCACAACCAUGAUGUCCAGCCUCUGGAAGCCAAAGAUAUACGAAAAGGCCAAAAAUAUUCCAAUAAUCCUGUACUCGACCAUAGAUUUCAUUGUUCUGUAUCUUAAAAUGUGAUUUACAGAAGAAAAACAAUAACCAAACCAUUUCUCGGCUGAAGAUGUGGUCUACAC